rnacentral:rRNA from 1 species
AUUGAACGCUGGCGGUAUGCCUAACACAUGCAAGUCGAACGGCAGCACAAUAAGAGCUUGCUCUUACGGGUGGCGAGUGGCGGACGGGUGAGGAAUACAUCAGAAUCUACUUUUUCGUGGGGUAUAACGUAGGGAAACUUACUCUAAUACCGCAUACGACCUACGGGUGAAAGCAGGGGAGCUUCGGACCUUGCGCGAUUGAAUGAGCCGAUGUCGGAUUAGCUAGUUGGCGGGGUAAAGGCCCACCAAGGCGACGAUCCGUAGCUGGUCUGAGAGGAUGAUCAGCCACACUGGAACUGAGACACGGUCCAGACUCCUACGGGAGGCAGCAGUGGGGAAUAUUGGACAAUGGGCGAAAGCCUGAUCCAGCAAUACCGCGUGGGUGAAGAAGGCCUUCGGGUUGUAAAGCCCUUUUGUUGGGAAAGAAAAGCAGCAGGUUAAUACCUCGCUGUUCUGACGGUACCCAAAGAAUAAGCACCGGCUAACUUCGUG